rfam:Sporolactobacillus inulinus CASD NODE_2, whole genome shotgun sequence.
CAAACUGCGCAGUGAUGUGCGGCUGAAUGAUGCAGAAGUCAGCCGAGGUCAUAGUAGCUACCUUUGGCAGCGAAGGAC